rnacentral:rRNA from 1 species
AUUGAACGCUGGCGGCAGGCUUAACACAUGCAAGUCGAGCGAGCGGCGGACGGGUGAGUAAUGUCUGGGAAACUGCCUGAUGGAGGGGGAUAACUACUGGAAACGGUAGCUAAUACAGCAUACCAUCAGAUGUGCCCAGAUGGGAUUAGCUAGUAGGUGGGGUAAUGGCUCACCUCGGCGACGAUCCCUAGCUGGUCUGAGAGGAUGACCUGCCACACUGGAUCUGAGCCCUGGUCCAGACUCCUACGGGAGUCAGCAGUGGGGACUAUUGCACAAUGGGCGCGAGCCUGAUGCAGCCAUGCCGCGUGUGUGAUGAAGGCCUUCGGGUUGUAAAGCACUUUCAGCGAGGAGGCGUUACUCGCAGAAGAAGCACCGGCUAACUCCGUGCCAGCCGCCGCGGUAAUUC